rnacentral:rRNA from 1 species
UACGUAGGGGGCAAGCGUUGUCCGGAAUCAUUGGGCGUAAAGAGCGCGUAGGCGGCCCAGUAAGUCCGCUCUGAAAGUCAGGGGCUCAACCCCUGGAUGCGGGUGGAUACUGCUGGGCUAGAGUCCGGAAGAGGUGAGUGGAAUUCCUGGUGUAGCGGUGAAAUGCGUAGAUAUCAGGAGGAACACCGGUGGCGAAGGCGCACAUCUGGCCCGAUACUGACGCUGAAGCGCGAAAGCUAGGGGAGCAAACGGG